GCAGGAGUUUGAGCCCGCGAAUUCCUGGUGUGACACUAAUCCUUUAAGUUCUGCAUGUUUAUUGAAGAUUAUCGGCAGAGUGGAACGUUUGUUAGGGGAUAUCAACCUUUCGGUAAAUCCCUGGGUUCUACCGAUUUUCAUUUUUGUGGCACUGACAAUCUCGAACCCUGAGCCUGCAAUCCUUUGCGCUUCCACAGGUGAUUGCAGGCUCAUUUGUUCGAGAUUGUGAC